rnacentral:rRNA from 1 species
GUAGGUGGCAAGCGUUGUCCGGAAUUAUUGGGCGUAAAGCGCGCGCAGGCGGUUCUUUAAGUCUGAUGUGAAAGCCCACGGCUCAACCGUGGAGGGUCAUUGGAAACUGGAGAACUUGAGUACAGAAGAGGAAAGCGGAAUUCCACGUGUAGCGGUGAAAUGCGUAGAGAUGUGGAGGAACACCAGUGGCGAAGGCGGCUUUCUGGUCUGUAACUGACGCUGAGGCGCGAAAGCGUGGGGGAGCAAACAGGAUUAGAUACCCUGGUAGUCCACGCCGUAAACGAUGAGUGCUAAGUGUUAGGGGGUUUCCGCCCCUUAGUGCUGCAGCUAACGCAUUAAGCGCUCCCGCCUGGGAGUACGGCCGCAAGGCUG